UCAAAAAAAAAAAAAAAAAAAACAAAAGGAAAGGGAAAAGUACCAAAACCCUCCUCUCUUUGGCUGCUCUUCCACUUGCACCUUUGCCAUGCCACCAUUCAUAAAUCCUUUGUUGUUAGGUCUAUGUAUUGAAAGGUGACAAUGGUGAUUGGACUGGUAUUGUGCCCUUGGGCAUUUGGAAUAGUUGAUGGGAUAUUUUCAAUCUUGGGACUUCUGUUCCAAAGUGGCCUAUAGUUGAGGGGUUCUCUCUACAUUUUUAACUUUUUUUAACCCCUUCCAGAUCUUGUGUGAGGUUCUGGUGGCAAGGUAGCAUGGUUGGCCUUAUGGCAACUGCUGCAGCCAUUAUCCCCAGAUAAGGAUAUCCUUUUGACCAGUGGGACAUCUCGAUAUGAAAUUGUCUAAGGCGAAUCUUAGCUUUCCUUUCCCCCACUCUCCAUGUCUUCUUCAUUGUGUUUUAAUUUGUAGCAUUUUCUCUUACUGAUCUAUUUUAUUUUUAGAUCCUCUGUUGAGGGUUUUUAUGGCAUGGCAACAUUGAUGGCUAGAAUGCAACUGUUGCAACCAUUCACCCUCUGGAGGACUUGGAGAAGAGAGGGGGGCGAGUUCAGUUUACUUGACCAAUAAAAAAUGCGGAAAGUUGAGGGGCUCUUUGUACAUUUUUGCCUUUAAUUUAGAAAAGGGUAAAUUACAUAGAAGGUCCUUAACCUUUUUUCCAAGUUUCAGUGGUGUUCCUAACCUUCUGAUUGUUGCAAUUAAGUAAACCUUUCCUAGAUGGUUUAAAUGGUUCUUUUUCAUCAAAAUCUCUGCGUCAUCAAACAAUGUUUGCCACACCACCUUUCCAAUGCCCUAACCGGUUGAACCAGGUCUAUGAUCUUAUAUAACCUUUUUUUUUCUUCUUCUUGUAUACGUACACUUUAUUCAUCGCAUCUUUACAAUAUUUAAAGAGCUUAUGUAUCAACAAUUAUGAAUUUUGAAAAUCCAUUCCUAGACACCAAGUGUUCAAAAUUUAUCCAUGCUACGUGGUAGCUGAAGUGGCAAUGUCCAUUCAAAUUACUGGAGAUUACAAUGGAAAGGACCCAAUUGAAACAAUUAGAGGAGGUUAAGGAUCUAAUUGCAACAAUUAGAAGGAUAGGGAUUCAAUUGAAACUUGGGUAACAGAUUGGGGACCUUGUAUAUAUUUACUCAUUUGGAAAAUGGGUGUGUUACCCGAGUAAAGUUUCUUGACAAGGUUAGUGACCAAUGGUGCAAUUUACCGUCCCAUCUUUUUGUGUAGUGGAUGAAGGCCUGCCCCAUCCAUUUCAAUGAAAGCUCAUUCGAUCCCCAUCCUUCUAAAAUGAAAGCUCAUUCGAGGUCUGAUCAUUAAGCCCUUGAAGCUAUUAAAGCCAUUUGAUGCUCAUUCAAGCUGUGAGAAACAGUUUUUAGUGGAUGAUGACAAUGUUGAUUGGACUGCCAUUGUGUCUAAUUGCUUUUAGGCAUUUCGAACAGGUGCUGGUCUUUCGUGAAUAUUGGGGUUCCUAUCCCAAAAAGGCCUAUAGUUGAGGGAGUCUCCAUACAUUUUUAGCUUUCUUUUCUAUCCAUAUCUUGUGCUGGAGGUUUUGGUGGCAAGGCAGCAUGAUCAGCCUCGUGGCAACUGCUGCAGCCAUUAGUGGGGAUUUGAUUUUGCCAAGAUGAGAGGAGAGAAGAUCUCUUUUCUUGUUAGCGAUUAGGGGUGUCAACGAGCCGAACAUGAGCGAGCUGGGGCCGGCUCGUGUUCGCUUGUUUAUUAAACGAGACAAACACGAGUUCGGUCGUUACAAUAUCGAGCUGAAAAAUCCAGCUCGUGUUCGGCUUGCUUAUUAACGAGCCGAACAUGAGUUGAAACAACAAGCAAGAUUGUUAGCCCUACUACUGGGUGAAAAGUUGAAAGAUUGAAAACUUGGAAUAUUAUUCUAGUAAUUGAAAUUCUCUAAUAUAGUUCUUUUUGCAUUUGGGUUGGCCUAAAAUCCAAAUGGUAAAACUUUGUAAUAUUUAUUAAUUCGAACUAUAUCGAGCCAAACACAAGCGAGCUGACCCUAGCUUGAAUUUGGCUCAUUAAGAUUUUGAGCUGAAAAAUUUAGUUUGUGUUCGGCUCGUUUAAACGAGCGAUCGAUCUCCAGCUCAUUUCGAGCCGAACACAAGCUGGCUCGCAAACUGCAAGCUGGAUUGCCAACCCUAUAAACGAGCGAUCGAUCUCCAGCUCAUUUCGAGCCGAACACAAGUUGGCUCGCAAACUGCAAGCUGGAUUGCCAACCCUAUUAACGAUAUUUGUUAUCUCCUAAGAGAACCCUUAUCUUCUCAUCUGGUCCCUUACUGAAGGUCUAUAUGGCAUGGUAGCCUGGAUAGCGAGAAUGCUUACUGCUGCAGCCAUUCACUGUCAGGAGGGAUCUGACUUGGAGAAAAGAGGUGCAUGAAUUCUGUUAUUUGAUCAAAAUGGCUUAUGGUUGAGGGCUCUUUGUACAUUCUUGCCUUAGUUUUGAAAUUGGUUAUGUUACCCAAGUGAAGUUUCAUGAUAAGUUCAGUGACCAAUGGUGUAAAUUACCAAAUCUUAUCUUUUUGAGUAGCAGAUUGAACGCCGGAAGUGCCACCUGGUCCAUCUCAAUUGAAUGCUGUCAAUUGAGAUGUUUGGUUACAUGUAGAGCAAUUGAAAACGUAUUCUCAGGAAAAAGUGGAAAAUUUUUGAGGGGCGCGUAGGGAUAUCUUUUCUCUUGGGCAAAAACAAUAGAAUGGUGUAGAAAGUGAAAACAGCCCUAAAAUUUAAUACACUUCAAAUAUCACCCUGUGGUUUAGUGCAUUUUCCCUUUGUUAACCUGUGGUUUGGAAAUUGCAUCUCUGCCUUUUAAGUGGCAAGGCAAAUUUUGGCUCUUCAUGUGUGGCGGAGCUCAAUUAACAAGCCUACUGCCAGCUCUACCCCCUCGUACUCUGUUGAUGAGGUUCUAAUACAGCUGCCAAGGUGAAAUUCGGAUGGUCCAUUCUUGAGUAGGCAACCAUUUGUCUCGAUCUGUGAGGCCAGCAAGAGUGGAGGGCGGUGGGAGAUUCAGAGGGUUGUUGUUGCCGUGAAAAAUUGCAUCUUUUAUAUGUUGUCCAAUAUCUGGUCUUACAGUAAUACUUGCUUCGCACUAUUUUCUUUUAUCAGAUUCAUGUAGUGUAGGUUCUGAUGGCAUGGCAGCAUGGAUGGCCCCACGGCAACCAUGCUGUAGCCAUCUGACUUUUUGCGUUUGGUUGGAUGGCAGGAACUGGCCCUUUAUUUUUUGCCUUGUAAUUGCCGUCUUAUGAAUCAACAAAUCUGCUGAUCUCUUUCCUUCUGGGACAUCAAGUAUUUUUAUUUAUUUAUUUAUUCUAAACUAAGUAAGCUGUUUCUUGGGUACAUUGCGGUGUUGUUAUUUAUUUUAUACUCGGCUUCUUCUGUGAUACCCAAUGUGUUGUGAUCUUGUCGUUUAGGUGAUAUCCUAAAAGAGUUUGCUCUGUUGAAAUUUAUGUGGAUUCCUGGAUGGUGGAUUUGCAAUUUGCAUUCUUACUUUUGCAAGUAGUGUAUUGAGCAUAUAUUGAAAAUUUGAAAGCUCAUGAUUUGACCUUUUUUUCAAGUUCUCUGAUAGUGAUGAUUUGGUCUGCAAAUAUGACUGAUGAUCUUUAGUUUCCAACUUUAACAGUUUUGCACAAUUUAAAAACUAUUAUUUUUUUUUGAGAAAAUACAGAGAAUUACUUUGUGCUGGGUCGGUCUGCUGAUUAGUGGAUUCUUUUUACAACCUGCAGCGUGUGGCCAAUUUAACAUGAGCAAGUUAGGGUAAUGACCUUGUUUAAUUAAACAAGCUAAUGAAGCUAGCUGUUUCUGAGCCACGUUUCGGCCUAACAAGAACUGUUUAUGAUUUGCGAUCUUAAUUAACAGUUCAUGAUCAGCGAUCUCAGUUAUCAGCCCUAAAGGCUAUUCUUUCCAGCUGUACUCCUCUGCUGAGCAUCUUAUAUAGUUGGCACGGUGAAAUUUGGACCGUGCAUUCUUAAAUGGAGAACCAAUCAACCAUUUGCAGCUGUCUGUGGAGCCAGCAGUAAGAGGGGGAGAGGCAUAUAAUAGAGGGGGCAAUUGCUUAUAUACUCCUGAAAAGUUUCCGACUUUCUCAUUUACCCCUCUUAGAAGGCUAAUAUUAAAAAUACACUUCUAACGUUCCAAGUUAUAUCAAAUAUAUCUUUAGAGUUAAAUUUUGUCAAUAAAACUGUUAGGAACAACCAUUAUCUCUGUGAAUUAUUAUUGUCUUUUCAAAUAUACCCUUCUACUGUCACAAACUUUUCUUAUUUGUUGUUAAGUUAGGGGCAAAAAAAGUAUUUGGACUUUUUGCCUUUUUAAAUAUACCCUUCUAUCGUCACCAACUUUCUUAUUUGCCCUUUAGUUAGGGGCAAAAGAGGUUUUUGACUUCUUUUUAACUCUAGUAGAAAUUUAAUCUGGAUUUGACCUGAGAUGACUAAACGGGUAUUAACAGCGGGGUUAUUUUUGAAUAACGGAAAAAUUUACACGGGGUAUAUAUGAAACGAAAAAAUGGGGGUAUAUAAGAUAUUUCAGAAGUUUUGAGGGGUUAUAUUAGAUAUUAUCCCUAACAGGGGGAGAGAGAGCAGACUGUUUUUGCAGUAAAAGGCAGCAUCUAUUUCGCGUGCUAUUAUAUCAGCCAUUAUGGUAAACAUUCACUUAUCCCUUCUCUAAUCUUUGAUUUGUAUAUGGAAUAUUUUGAUGCCAAGGAAGCUUAGAAGGUUCUGUCACAACUGCCGCUGCCAUCAGCCCGUAGGAGGGACUUGGAAUGGAGAAGAUGAGAGGGGGUGGAAUUUUCUUUACUUGAUCAACCAGAGGCUAAUUCGCCCUCCAAUGGGGCAUGCAUUAUGUAUCUUAACUGAUAUUUUCCUGGUUGAACCUGUUUUUUAAACAUUGGCUGUACACGGUUGACAUGGUGGACCAGGUCCAGAGAGUAAUUUCUUCUUGGGUUAAUUUCACUGUUGGUCCCGACCUUUAUCCAAGUUUUAGUCCUCAACCUUUUAAUCUUUGCAGUUGGGUAUCUAACAUUUUAUCCACAGAAAUGCUCGUUAACUUGGAUGGAAUUUGCUAUGUCAACACCAAAUCAUGCUUGCUUGGUACAAAACUUUGCCAUCGCAAUCUUCAUGACAGCUAAUGGGCCUUUUUGACAGGAAGGACUUGAUUGAAACAACUAAUAAACGCUGAGACUCGAUUGCAAAAAUUAAAAGGCUGGGAACCACUAUGAAAACUCUUUAAAGUUGGGGACAAAAGUGAAAACUCUGCUUAAGGUUGGGGACAAAUGGAGCAGUUAACUCUUUCCUAUUAGAACUCUGUCAAAUUACAUUGUAAUGUCUCCCGAAGACUUAUCUUCAGAUUGUUAUAAUCACUUGUCAUGGAUAAGAGAGUGGAAGUUUGUAAAGGCUGCCCCCUCUGUCUGUAUGUCAAGAUUAUCACAAGCCUUUUUUCUUGCUUGAUUUUCUUUGCUGCUGCUACUGCUACUGGAUACCAUCUUCUUCUCUUUUUCUUUCUCUUGAAGGCAAUGAUGACUUUGGCACCUAAAGGUGCAUUUCGCCGCCACAUAACCAAACUAGGCCUUACACAAUUUUGGUUCAGAUCGUGGGUGAUUGGAUUUAGGUUCAGGGUUUGAGUUUUGAUGCUUUAUUUGUUUUCUCUUCUCUACUCUUCAUCUAUUGAGAUUCAACUGUGGCGGCAAUGCAAAUUUUGGCAGGCCCAUUUCUUGGUGGGCAACCAAUUGCAUCCACAGUUUUUGGCCAGCAGAUAGGGGGAGGUGAAAAUGUGUGGUGAUUUAUCCCUUUUUACAACUAUUUUAUAGCUCCGUUGUUUGAGGGCUUUACUAUUCUGAUGUCUGAGAUAGGUGGGCCAAGCUGAGCCUUUGCUGUUCCAUCUGGCCUAGUCUAGCAAUCAAUACUUUUACUCUACUGAGAUAUUCAGUUGGCUUUUUGCUAUGCGUUUUUUUGGUUAAUUAAUCCUCUUAUUUUUUUGAUUGCAAUUGUGGUCUUAAUAAUUAGGAAUUUUGCUUAGAACUUAAAUUUGGCAUGAUGUUAAUGGCUUGUUUGUUCAAAUUGUCCUCUCUUUCUUUUAAGGGUGUUAGAUUUACGGUUUUGUUCCGAUUCCAUAUUGACGUUUUGAGUUAUUUAUUUUUGUUGCUUUUUUUUUUGCCUUUGUUUAUAAUUUCCUAUACUUCUUUGAUUGAUUCUAUUCUGGACUGGUUCUGAUGUUUUGGGUUACUGAAGCUGCCUACUCUUUUCUACAGUUUAACUGGUUUUAUUGAUAUCCAUCUUUCUGUGACUGACACCCUUUCAAAUUUUGUUUGUUUGGAUUUGAGUUGUUUUGGUUAAUUAAAUGGAGAAUUUUGUUAAAAAUUAAUGGCUUCUUUUGCUGUUGGUUGUUGAUUAAUAUUGAAGUCUGUGCUACUUUAGCUGAAAAGUAGUUAGAACCUUGAAAUUUGGUGGAAUUACUGAUAAAUUCACAAAAUACCCAAGUCAAUUGUCAAAAAUAGUGUAAAUCAAAACAAGUGAAAGUUGAGGGGGUGUCAAUGAGAAAAUUUGAAGUUUAGGGACCUUUAGUAGAAAUGCCUAGAUUUGAGGGGGGUCUCCAUACUUUUUUACCUAAUUUAUGUUUGUUUCUGUUGAGUAACUUUUUCAUUUCUUUUCCUUUCUUUUGCGGCAAUAAUAAUUUUGGCCCGCUGAAGGGAUAUUUUCCAGAUUUGUGAUGAAGUUUUGUUCUUUUAGAUCUUUUAACUGGGAUUUGAAAAAUAUUGGUUAGGGUACUGAUUCUUUAUUUAUUUGCAGUACUAGGGUUGUGCACUAUUCGGUACUAUUCGGUCUUUAACAAAUUUCUAAACUAAACUGUUCGGUUUGGUUCGGUUCGGUUCUGUUCAGUUCGGUUCUACACAAGGAUUUAAGUAGCAUGGCAUGGGGUCGUGCCGGAAACUUACCGACACGGUAUGAUAUAGUGCGUGCCAGGCCGUGUCGAUGCAUGCUGAUAAAAAAAAUACAUGUGCCUACACAUAAUCGCAUGAUAUAUUUAUUUUCUUUAGAAACAAAAUAUUCUAAAUGUUUAUUAUGUAUCUUUAUCAAAUCUUUUAAACAUUAUUGAGAAAAUUACUUACUAACUGAAAGAAUAGAGGGUUUUGAGCUGUGCCAUUGGCAAGGGGGCUGUAUUGUGCCGAUAUCUUGUUAGCACGAUACGACACGGUGGAUACGGUUCGUGCUGAUGGAUAUUUAAAUCCUUGGUUCUACACCUCUUGGUUCGGUUAGGUUCGGUUGUACACCUCUCUCUCUCUCUCUCUCUCUCUCUCUGAGAUUCUAGUACAAUGGUGAAGCACAUUUUGGCUGGUCUACUCUGCUACAGAUGGCCAUUUGCUCCCACUCUUUCGUUUGCAGAUAUCAGGAAUGCUACUAAUUACUCAUUUACCUAAGAUGGUGGUUGGCUGAACCACUAAUUAGUCACUUCCUACUGAAUUGCGCUGGCCCUUCACUGGUAAUUCAUGAAGUAGUGGUUGAUUGGGUAAUUCUCUUGAUUGAAUCUAGAAUGUUUUUUGCAGACUACUCAUCUUCAAAGGAAUGGCAUGGUAGCCCUUGUCCUAGCAGGAACUUACACGUUUGAUGUCAUCUGCUUGAUUUUGUCUGGCGUGGUUCACAAAUGACAUGUUGGUGGGAGCUGUAGCAUACCAAGGAUGGAGGGAUUUUGUGCACCCAAUGCUGCAGAAAAUCCGCUCCUUGCAAGCGAUGGCAAACCAAUUGGAUAAGCAGCAAAAUGAGAAGUCUCUCCCCUUUCAAUACUUCUACAGGUUCAUCAUGUGGAAAUUUUGGCUGGUCUGUUUCUAUUCGGGCAGCCAUUUGCUUCAGGUUUCUAAGCCAAGAGUGAUGAAUAAGGGCCAUUUGCUUCAGGUUUUUAAGCCAAGAGUGAUGAAUAAGGGUGAUUUACCCUAACAAGUUGGGCUUGUCUGGCGGAUAGCCAUCCCUUUCCAUUUUGCUGUUCAGUGGACAACCGUUUCGUCUGAGUUGGCCUCUCGAUUGAGCUCUUUGUUAACGAACAGCUUGUGUUUGGCUUGACACUUUGCUCAACAAUGGUCUGCUCAAUUGGCGCGUUGAGUAUCCAGUCAGUCUUGAUAUAAGCUUAGCUCUCGCAUGUGUUUGGCUCACUUUUGUGUCCCUGAAUGUCGGGUGGGCAUCCUUGUUAUUUCGUGACAGUCCAUUUCCAUUCAUAUUUUGAUUUCGAUCGAUUCCUAUUUUGAACCAAACGUGCCUGUAAAUCAAAGUAAGCAUGCUUUGGUCACUUUCUGAGGAGGGAAAAUAUUUCGAGCAUGCGGUUGAAGGCAGCUUAGCUUUUGUGAUGUUUCUGCCAUUCUCUCCUGUCUUUUGAGGCUUAAGCAUGCUUGGCGCUGCGAGUUUUUGGCCGGCCAUCUUCUUUGCAGGUGACCAUUUGCCGCCAUCUUUAGUUCGUUGAGCGAUGCUCCCUGUACACCUACCCACAUGCCUGCAGUGUAUCCGUACUUCUUAUGCACUUGGCUUUCCUGAUACUGACCUUGCAGUGGAAGUUUCUGCAAUUCAUGAUAUUUCAUUCAUCGCCAAAUCCGAGCCUUCUUUAUUUUCCAUUUUGAGUUCAUUUUAUUUGGCCGAAGGAAAGGGCUUAGGGCAUAUUUGUUUCGCCGGAAAGUGGGACGGGAAAUAGCGAUUUUCUGCAGUAACUCAAGCUUUAUUUGAGUGCCAAGGUAAAUCUUGCUCUUGCUACUGGCCAAGUCAAUAACCGAGGGAUAGAGAUAAGAUGUGGUAUAAUUGCUAUCUAAAAGACCUGUGGUGUCACCGUCACAUUCUACACUUUUUCUUGUGUAUCAUAUGUUCUCAAUCAGUUGAACGCAUUCUACACUCUUUCUUAUAUCAUCAUGUUCUCAAUUAAUUAAAUUACGCUUUUAUUGUUCA